CAAUUAUUUCACUAAAUAAUUUUUAGUAAUUAAUUUUAUCCCAAGCUCCUCUUCAGCAGGUGUGUGGCGCCUCCACUGAAAGUUCUGGUUAGGUCCAACCAUUAACAUGUCAAAAUUCAACGUAUCUGACAAACAAAUAAUCAAGCCCAAAUAUUGCUCAGCCAACCUAACCAUCAUUAGAAAAAUACAUCUGAAUCAACAUAUUAUGAAUGAUAAUUCUGAC
rnacentral:lncRNA from 1 species